GACGAACGCUGGCGGCGUGCCUAAUACAUGCAAGUCGAACGCACAGUUUAUACCGUAGCUUGCUACACCAUAGACUGUGAGUUGCGAACGGGUGAGUAACGCGUAGGUAACCUGCCUGGUAGCGGGGGAUAACUAUUGGAAACGAUAGCUAAUACCGCAUAAUAUUGAUUAUUGCAUGAUAAUUAAUUGAAAGGUGCAAUUGCACCACUACCAGAUGGACCUGCGUUGUAUUAGCUAGUAGGUGAGGUAACGGCUCACCUAGGCGACGAUACAUAGCCGACCUUGGAGGGGGAUCGGCCACACUGGGACUGAGACACGGCCCAGACUCCUACGGGAGGCAGCAGGAGGGAAACUUCGGCAAUGGACGAAAGUCUGACCGAGCAACGCCGCGUUGGUGAAGAAGGUUUUCGGAUCGUAAAGCUCUGUUGUAAGAGAAGAACGGGUUUGGGAGUGGAAAGUUCACACUGUGACGGUAUCUUACCAGAAAGGGACGGCUAACUACGUG
rnacentral:rRNA from 1 species